UUAUGAUUUCUGCAUGGUUUACCAAAUACUCCUUGACUUAAAAAUAAGCUUUGGAUUUAUGCUAGCUCAGUUCCAGUAAUAUAUGAAAAUAUUUCUCCUAUAUAGCUCUAUUUCACUUUGUAAUAUUGUUACACAUAUGACAUCCACUAAUGUUAGAAAUCCCACCAUACGUUGUUAUAGCUAUUACUUUUCCAUCUGUCAUCAUUUCCUUAGAACAUUACAGCUUUGCUCCCACCCACCUCUCUUGUACUAUUUUGGCACAUAUACAUAUAUUAUAUUGUUCAGAAAUACGUAAUCUAUAUAUUAUAUGCUUUCUUUUAAAAUAAAAAAAUGAGAAAAGAUACACUUACAGUGUCGUCUAUAGUUUAAAUAAUUACCUUUUUAAUUGGUGUUCUUUGUUCACUUACAUGGUUCCUAAUUAUGAGGUUACUUUUGCUUUUGGCCUGAAGAACGUUUUUAGUAUUUUCUGUAAGGUAGGAGUGCUGGCUACAAAUUCUCUCAGCUUUUUCUUUUCUGAGAAAGUCUCUAUUUGCUUUUAUUUUUGAGAGAGUGUUUUGCUGGCUAUAGGAGUCUAAGAGUCUUUGUUUCAUUUGCUCCCUUUGAGCACUAUGAAUCUGUUAUUCCACUGCCUUCUGUCCAUUGUUUCUGUUGAGAAAUUCACUGAAUACCGCACUGGGUUGAUCUGUAAGUGGACACAUUAUCUUCCGCUUCAUUUGAAGAUUUUUCUCCUUGUGUUUGAUUUUCAGCGUUUUAAUAUGAUGUGUGUGUUUGUGGAUUUUUUUGUUUAUAUCGCUUGGAGUUCAUUGAGCUUCAUGGAUGUGUUUCUUUGAAAACUUUGAAAAGAAAAUAUGGUUCAGAAAAGUUUUCCCAACAGAAAUGACUUCCCACUUUUCUCCAUCCUGCAAAUCAUUUGAAAGCUCCUACUCAAGUUGCAUCUGCGUUGAACAGUCUGUGCCAUGCCAGGCCUCUUUGUUUUAUGGAUUCAUAAGAUAUAUGUCAUAUUUUCAUUCUGACCACCCUCCACACUUCAACUGGAUAUCCACAGAGCCUCCCCCUCAAGCUGCCAGUGAAGUGAAUGCAGUCACCGUUAUCAGCAAUGCUUUGUACAAGCAACUCACAAACCCUGCUAUGAUGGAUUUACUGCAGUAG
rnacentral:lncRNA from 1 species